rnacentral:rRNA from 1 species
AUUAUACGAAGUUAUCAGUCGACGGUACCGGACAUAUGCCCGGGAAUUCGGCCAUUACGGCCGGGAGAUAAUAGUUCAUUGAAUUAUAAUACUUAGUAGCGGACGGGUGAGUAACGCGUAAGAAUCUACCUUUAGGAAAAGGAUAACAACUGGAAACGGUUGCUAAUACUUUAUAUGCUGAGAAGUUAAAUAGGUUACUGCCUAAAGAUGAGCUUGCGUCUGAUUAGCUAGUUGGUAAGGUAAAGGCUUACCAAGGCAAUUAUCAGUAGUUGGUCUGAGAGGAUGAUCAGCCACACUGGGACUGAGACACGGCCCUGACUCCUACGGGAGGCAGCAGUGAGGAAUUUUUCGCAAUGGGCGCAAGCCUGACGAAGCAAUACCGCGUGAAGGAUGAAGGCCUGCGGGUUGUAAACUUCUUUUAUUAGAGAAGAUAAUGACGGUAUCUAAUGAAUAAGCAUCGGCUAAAUAUGUGCCAGCAGCCGCGGUAAGACAUAUGAUGCAAGUGUUAUCCGGAAUGAUUGGGCGUAAAGCGUCUGUAAGUUGUUUAAAAAGUCAACUGUCAAAAACUAAAGCUCAACUUUAGGCAGGCAGUUGAAACUUUUAGACUAGAGUAUGGCAGAGGUAGAGGGAAUUACUGGUGUAACGGUGAAAUGUGCAGAUAUCAGUAAGAACACCAAUGGCGAAAGCACUCUACUGGACCAAAACUGACACUCAGAGACGAAAGCUAGGGGAGCGAAUAGGAUUAGAUACCCUAGUAGUCCUAGCUGUAAACGAUGGAAACUAAAUAUUGCGUUUUUAAAAUGCAGUAUUGUAGCUAACGCGUUAAGUUUCCCUCCUGGGGAGUAUGCUCGCAAGAGUG